GGUGGAUUUGCCUGCACUCAAGCUGCUGCUGCCAGAGCCCCUCCGUGUCAAUCUGUGCUGCCGUUGGGUUCUGCAGCUCUCUCCAGCAAGCACGGCAUGAGCUGAAGGAGCAGCAGGAGCAGCAUGGCCGUUCCCCAGGCAGCAGGAGGGUUCAGCCCAGCACCAGCUCAUGCGGGAGGAGCAGAUGCUGAGGAACAUCCCCCACGAGACGCAGGUGGCCAAAGAGGCUGGGUCAGGUGCCAAAAAGGAGACCUUCUUCACCUGCUUCUCUUGUGCAAGCUCUUCUGUCUGUCUGCUGAGAUGUUUCUGCCUGUUUCUCUGGCAGAGAAGUGUUUGCUUUUUUGGCUGGCGAGCUGACCAUCCGUACUACCGUCGCCUUGAAUGCCUCCAACCAGCAGUGUUUGCUGCCAGACAGACACCUGGAGAAGACAGAGGACAUGCUGCGGUGGCUCCGAUUGUUACGCCGUGUGAUUUAUCUUCCUGUCCUGGCUGUCUUCCUGUGCUGGGUGCUGGCAGUGAAUACGUGGUGAGGAGUGCUUGGGGUGUGCCAUCCUUUGCUGUUCUCACUGUGGGAACUCCAAGAGCCAUGGAAUGGGCACAGGCUGGUGAUGGACUUCUGCAGCGAAGCAAGAGAGUCCUCUAUGAGGCCAAGGCUGCUGUAAUGCUGCAGGGAUGGAUUUGCCUGCACUCAAGCUGCUGCUGCCAGAGCCCCUCCGUGUCAAUCUGUGCUGCCGUUGGGUUCUGCAGCUCUCUCCAGCAAGCAUGGCAUGAGCUGAAGGAGCAGCAGGAGCAGCAUGGCCGUUCCCCAGGCAGCAGGAGGGUUCAGCCCAGCACCAGCUCAUGCGGGAGGAGCAGAUGCUGAGGAACAUCCCCCACGAGACGCAGGUGGCCAAAGAGGCUGGGUCAGGAUGUUCAAGAUCCAUCAGUGACAGUGAGCUUUCCACUGGAUGAAGAGGCAAGUGUUUCUCUUGUUGCUGGGACCACGACUCCUUGGACCUUGCCCAGUAAUCUGGCCCUUUGUGUUAAUGCAGAGUUGCAAUAUGUAGAAUGGAGAGAGAGUGCCACAGGACAGAUUUCCAUUUGGAUGGAAUCCAGGCUGGUAGCACUGCACAAACCUGAAAGUGAAUAGGAAAUACUUGACAGGAUGAUGACAGAGUCUGCAUGGACUUGAAUAGAAUUCAGAAGGGUGCUGUGGCUGUUUGUGCCGUCGAUGCAUCUGGCUGCUUCACAGCAGAGGUGGCUGACUUGGCUGGACAGUAUGUGAAGAUGUGGUCAUCAAGCUUGUGCCAGCCAGGUAGUGUAACACGACUUGUCAGAGGAGAGAAAUCUACUCAUUUUCCCUACUUGUGGGAUGUGUUGC